AGAGUCCUGAAAUGUACGUUGUGUUACCUGAAGUUUUGACCGAACAUUUAAGAUUCGGGAGUCUGGAGUUUUCUACUUGCGUAAAUGCCCCACCUAUACGGUAAAGGGACUUACAAUAACGGAAACAGGGCACCCACCUGCUAGUAGCGGGAUCAAAACGAAGGAUCAUGAGCGACGGCAUCAUUGGGACUCUU
rnacentral:other from 1 species